CCUACGGGGGGCUGCAGUGAGGAAUAUUGGGCAAUGCCCGCAAGGGUGACCCAGCAACGCCGCGUGGAGGAUGAAGGUCGUAAGAUUGUAAACUCCUGUUAGAAGGGAAGAAUAUCCGGGAUUGAAUCCCGGUUUGACUGUACCUUCAGAGAAAGUCCCGGCUAACUACGUGCCAGCAGCCGCGGUAAUACGUAGGGGGCAAGCGUUGUCCGGAUUUACUGGGUGUAAAGGGCGCGUAGGCGUGCGCGUAGAAAUCCUGAAGCUUAACUUCAGAACUGCCUUUGAUACUGCGAGUCUUGAGUUCAGAAGAGAGAGAUGGAAUUCCAGGUGUAGUGGUGAAAUACGUAGAUAUCUGGAAGAACACCAGUUGCGAAGGCGAUCUCUUGGUCUGACACUGACGCUGAGGCGCGAAAGCGUGGGGAGCAAACAGGAUUAGAUACCCCAGUAGUC
rnacentral:rRNA from 1 species